rnacentral:lncRNA from 1 species
AUUCAUUUGGGAACCAAUUGAUAUUACACCUUGAAGCUCUGAAGCUCUGAAGCUCUGAAACUCCGAAGCUCUCAAGCAUCCAGGUUCCCGAAGAAUCAAGAAAGUGUUCUUCGUUCUUCGUUCAUCGUUCUUCCAAGAUCAAGCCUCGACGGCCCUUGGAUCAACAAUCAUCCACCUUCAAGAUCAAGCCCCGACGGCCCUUGAAGAAAGCGUUCUUCGUUCUUCGUUCAUCGUUCUUCCAAGAUCAAGCCUCGACGGCCCUUGGAUCAACAAUCAUCCACCUUCAAGAUCAAGCCCCGACGGCCCUUGAAGAAAGCGUUCUUCGUUCUUCGUUCAUCGUUCUUCCAAGAUCAAGCCCCAACGGCCCUUUGGAUCAACAAUCAUCCACCAAUUCAAGAUCAAGCCCCGACGGCCCUUGAAGAAAGCACCAUCGUUCAUCAUCCGUUCAUCCAAGAUCAAGCCCCAACGGCCCUUUGGAUCAACAACGUCGACAAAAUCCACACAUCCAACCGUUCUUCAAGAUCAAGCCCAAAAGCCCUUGAAGAUCCGUUCAUCACUGUUCUUCAAGAUCAAGCCCAAAAGCCCUUGGAGAUCCGUUCAUCACUGUUCUUCAAAGAUCAAGCCCAAAAGCCCUUGAAGAUCCGCUCAAAUCCACCUUCAAAGAUCAAGCCCACGGCCCUUUGAAGAAACUUCCAACUGUUCAUCCAAGAUUAAGCCUCGACGGCCCUUGGAUCAACGAAACACCCACCAAUCAACA